rnacentral:lncRNA from 1 species
AAUCACUAGUUCUACGAUUGAACCACCUAUGAUUGAUAUAGGUGACGAAAUAGAUGUUGAAACUGAGAAUUAAGAUUUUGACUUUGAUAAUUUCAUGGGUUGCGAUUCAGAUGUUCUGACUUCAGAAACUCUAACAAUUGAUGACCUUAUUAAUGAAGAUCGUAAAUCUGAAGAAGAAAUUGAAGAAAAUGACAAAGACACAGAAAUACCUACCUUCAUUUCAGCUUUAACUGGGCUAAGAACAGUGAGAAAAUAUUUACAGGCCUUUGAGAAUGAAGAAAAAAAUUUAAAUUAUUUGUCUAUUAUUGAAGCUGACUUGUUUAAAUUACACAAAGAAAAAGUA